AGAAAACUGUUUGCUCACGCGGGUGCUGGGCACUGUGCGUGCACGCAUGCGCGCACAAUGGCCGCGGGGCAUGCACACAGCGUGCACGACCCAUCCGCACACUAGCAAGCACGGGACAUGAGCACAGCACGCAUGGCCCCUCCACACGAACGCACGCACGGGACGUGCGCACAGUGCGCAAGUCCCCUCCGUGCGCAUGGUGUGGGCUCAGGACCAGCGCAUGCAUGUGGGUUCUCUGUGUGUCACUCGCGCUUGGACUAGCACCGCACAGUGUGUGUGUGCCGUCUGUAGCUUGC
rnacentral:lncRNA from 1 species